UUCGAUUCUGGCUCAGGAUGAACGCUGGCGGCGUGCCUAACACAUGCAAGUCGAGCGAUUCUCUUCGGAGAAGAGCGGCGAACGGGUGAGUAACGCGUGGGUAACCUGCCUCAUACACAUGGAUAACAUACCGAAAGGUAUGCUAAUACAGGAUAACAUAAGAGAUUCACAUGGAUUUCUUAUCAAAGCUCCGGCGGUAUGAGAUGGACCCGCGUCUGAUUAGCUAGUUGGUAAGGUAACGGCUUACCAAGGCGACGAUCAGUAGCCGACCUGAGAGGGUGAUCGGCCACAUUGGAACUGAGACACGGUCCAAACUCCUACGGGAGGCAGCAGUGGGGAAUAUUGCACAAUGGGCGAAAGCCUGAUGCAGCAACGCCGCGUGAGUGAUGAAGGCCUUCGGGUCGUAAAACUCUGUCCUCAAGGAAGAUAAUGACGGUACUUGAGGAGGAAGCCCCGGCUAACUACGUGCCAGCAGCGGC
rnacentral:rRNA from 1 species